UUCUAAUUAGACAAUGACUGUCACGUGUAACAUUUUGAUUGGAUGUUGACUCUGUGGACAAUGAAAAUGUAUUGUUGUUGUCAACGUCCAAUCAGAACAUGACACAUGACAGUCAUCGUCC
rfam:Glycine soja cultivar W05 scaffold872_30, whole genome shotgun sequence.